UAAAAGAAAUUUAAACAUGGUAAUGCUUUUUUUAAAGUUAGAAGCUUUAUAUUUGUAAUUUCUUU
rnacentral:tRNA from 1 species